rnacentral:snoRNA from 14 species
GAGGCUAUGUCCACCCUCAGUGUUCUGACUGAUGAAUAUCUAAACCAUUAGUAGCCUCA